GACAUACUAUAGGUCCGACCAUGUGAACCUAGGGCUCUGAUACCAUUCUGUAACGACCCGAAAAUCCGGACCGCUACCGGCGCUAGGAUCCAGAUCGGCAUAAGGCCGCCGGGACCCGUAGCAAGCCUACUAUGCAUCCUGUACAGCUGGUAUAAUCCCAAACAUGAUCAAACAUAUCCAUAAAACAUUUAAAACUUUACCUUUAACCAG
rnacentral:lncRNA from 1 species